rnacentral:lncRNA from 1 species
AAUUUCUCAGCUGAUGGGUUUGUUUUCUUAUGUUUGGUUUGCAGUUCUGUGAUCGUAUAUUCUUAUAUGCAUUCUAGUGAGAAUAAAAAUGAGUGGCGAAUGGAUAAAGUUUGGUUCUUUAACCUUGUCCCUUUUAUGCAGUGAAGGAGUUUCAGUUUUUCCAGAAAUUGCAGCUGCCCUUUCCUGUUCAUUAUUUAUUUGUGUUUCUUAAGUGAGAUUGGGGGGAGUGCAAGUUCUUCUGUGGGAGUGAAGAGGCUGUCUUUAGAAACAAGAAAAUGAAGUUUAUGAAGUUGGGAUCAAAGCCUGAUGCAUUUCAAGCUGAAGGGAGCUGUGUAAGGUAAGUUUGAUGCCCUCAUUUUCUGUUUUUCUUCAGAGAUUCC